ACGACGGAUAAAUGUUAUGGUGAGCUUAGAGUCAAAGCUUGAAUAUAUAUUUUGAUUAACAUUAUGGUUUUGUUUCCAUAUCUUUUUUUUUGUAUUAAUGGCAGAAUAUAUGUUAUUUACUUCUUAGUGAAUGCAAGAGGAUUUUUUGCUAGAAGAAUAUUAUUAUGGGGCCAGUUAAACUUGGUGAAAUCGUUUUUGAUUUAGACGUGUAUAGCCAGAAGUCUAUCUAAUAAUUAACAGCUCGACAAAAACCAAUUCAUGCAUGCAUUUGUUUUAUUAUAAGGCAACUCGUAAAGGACGUAUUCCUUAUUGUUUGCAUGCAUUGCAAUUUGUUUACGUGUUCUUAGUGAAUAAUUAACAGGUACACAUAAUUAAUGGGCUGGGCUGCGAGAUUGUUCUUUUAAUUCGAAGCCCACUCGCUGUAACCAAACCAAAGCAAUUUUAAUUCGAACCUCAUUCUUUUAAUUCGAAGCCCACUCGUUGUAGCCAAUUUUGUAACCAAAGCAACUUUAAUUUGAAGCCCACUCGCUGUAGCCAAUUUUGUAAUCAAAACCAAGUCCAAAUCUUUUAUUGCAAUU
rnacentral:lncRNA from 1 species